CAUCCAUGAUUUUAGUAAGAUAGUUUUUCGACCAGAGAUUAUUAGUUGUUUUUAGGAUUCUUAGCGCAUCCAUUGUAGAUGAAGUUUAUAUGUUGGAGAUUCAAUGUUUCAGUGUUACUUUUCCCUGGAAUUAAAAGCAAAUGGAUAAGAAGCCAAGAACUUGAGAUUUUCUCUUUUUCAAAAAAAAUGACAAAUAUUUGGGAUGUGGAGGAAAGAAUUGAAUAUCAAUGUCAUUAUGGGAUGAUGGGGCCAGCCACAAGAGGGUUCAUCCGAAUUCUCUUUCUUGAAAAUAUUAAAUUGCAUUUAGAGGAUAAAAAAUAAUAUCUUUUUGUAAUUAUGUAGUAAAUGUCGUUGAAUUCUCUUGGCUUCUUCUUUUUGUAUUUACUUCUCUAUUGAAGUCCAAUUAGUAAAAAUUCUUGCUCCUCUACUAAAUAAUUAGGCAUGUUUUUCUGUAUGUAGGAGUACGGUAGUACAAAUUAUCUCCACCUACAUUUGUAUUCUUUCUUUGGUUGUUGUACGGUCAUUUUUAUAAUUUAGACAUGCAUAAGCAAUGGUCAUUCGCCUCGCCAGAGCAACAUAUAACCAUAAUCUCAAUUUAGUGCCAAAUUCAUACCUAGAGCCAAAAUAUUCUCUUGUAAUUGGACAUCACAUUACUACUAUUUGGUAGUCAUAAGAGCCAAAUUAUUCUUGAAAGAACAACAGUUAUCCACUUUGCAAUGCUAACCAAAUUUUAUCAUAGGCACAAUAACUGGUACAUCAGAUAUGCGUCCUUCUCAAUCUUCUCGUACUUAUUCAAGAUAUAUAAAUAUUUGCAAUCUAGAUUUUAGCUUGUAAUCAUUUUCCUUCCAAUCCAAGAAUAUAAUGAAUAAGUAUUACGAAAUUGGAUCGAUUAAAUCUCUAAAUAUAUGCAUGGAAGAUAGAAUUAUAUACUUGUUUGUUUAAAUUUAGUAGCUAGUGAAAUAUCCAAAGCAAAUAUAAGGUCCUGUCUACAAUCUAAUACUAUUUGUGGUUGUAGGUAAACAAUUGAUUCACAUUCUUUCAAUAUUUAUCUCCUUCAAUUUUGAAUUUGGUGGAAGUUUUUUAUGAACUCUGGACCAUAUAUGUUCUUGCAAUAGUUAUGGCCUAAAUUCUCCCUACAUGGAGAAUAUAUAUGAGUUUUGAAUAAUACAAAACAUAUGUGUCAACAUUGUAAAGUUACUUACACAUUCGAC
rnacentral:lncRNA from 1 species